rfam:Aedes albopictus isolate Foshan contig48264, whole genome shotgun sequence.
UAGCCUAAUAGUUAAGGCUAUGGAUUGCCAAUCCGGAGACGGGGGGUUCGAUUCCCGU